GUCCCCGUCGUCCAGAGGUCAGGACGUGGCCCUUUCAAGGCUAAAACACGGGUUCGAAUCCCGUCGGGGACGCCA
rnacentral:tRNA from 1 species